rnacentral:misc_RNA from 1 species
AUCGUAGAUCAGCGCGCUACGGUGAAUACGUUCCCGGGUCUUGUACACACCGCCCGUCACACCAUGGGAGUUGGUUUUACCUGAAGCUGGUUUGCUAACCGUAAGGAGGCAGCCAACCACGGUAGGAUUAGCGACUGGGGUGAAGUCGUAACAAGGUAACCGUAGGGGAACCUGCGGUUGGAUCACCUCCUUUCUAAGAGUUUUUUUUGAGUUCUUCGGAAUUUAAAAAAUUUAUAACUUAGUAAUUAUAUGUGGAUUACCGUCCGCGUUUCUCUUUCAUUGUUUAAAACUAUGAAGCCUACCGUUUGUCGGGCUUGUAGCUCAGUUGGUUAGAGCGCACCCCUGAUAAGGGUGAGGUCGGAAGUUCGAGUCUUCCCAGGCCCACCAAUUUUAUCGGUGGUUUCUCUUCUGGGGCUUUAGCUCAGCUGGGAGAGCACCUGCUUUGCAAGCAGGGGGUCACCGGUUCGAUCCCGGUAAGCUCCACCAUGUUUUAAGCUUUUCCAUUUACAUCGUGAAGUGACAUCAAUACUAAAUUAAUAAAAUUUUUAUUGAGAAUUCAAAUAUCAAAAAGUAAUGCUACAAGAAACCAUAGUUCGUUUCUUGUACAUAGAAUAAUCAAGCGUUUAAGAGCAUUUGAUGGAUGCCUUGGCAUACACAGGCGAUGAAGGACGUAGUACGUUGCGAUAAGCUUCGGGGAGUGACGAACACACUUUGAUCCGGAGAUUU